UAGAAGAUGGACACAGUGUUAAUGGAAACAGCCUUAAAAGACUAAAGUGCUUGGUCAUGCUGCCUAAGUGUUUCAAGAUUGAGAACUAGAAUUUUGGGCAGUCCCUUCAAGCCGUGAGAUGAUUUACUGGCAAUACCACUUGGAGAAGGAACUGUGGUCACAACCAGUUAGAGAAUUCUUGUUAGUCUGCUCCCUGGAAAAUGAUAGAUUGGAACAGUGUUUUCAUAUUGAUUUAAAGGAAUUUCUGCAUAAGAGACAUGGACUAUUUGUUAUGUAAUGAAAAAGUGCACAGGUUCAACAGGAAAUUGAACUACUGGGCAGCUUACAGAGAAGUGCUUUCCAAAGCAGAAGGACGGAUUGCACAGAAGAGCAGGAGAUUUGUUUUAACAGCCCAGCACGUCUCCUUUCAGCCCCACACCUCAGAUGCUCUCAGCUCCCCAGGGAUGAAUCACAAAAAUGAAAGGCAAAUAAUCUGUGGGAAAACAAUGAACUAAAUCAGUACAAAUAAAAGAUAUA